AUUGAACGCUGGCGGCAGGCCUAACACAUGCAAGUCGAGCGGAUGAAGGGAGCUUGCUCCUGGAUUCAGCGGCGGACGGGUGAGUAAUGCCUAGGAAUCUGCCUGGUAGUGGGGGAUAACGUCCGGAAACGGGCGCUAAUGCCGCAUACGUCCUGAGGGAGAAAGUGGGGGAUCUUCGGACCUCACGCUAUCAGAUGAGCCCAGGUCGGAUUAGCUAGUCGGUGGGGUAAAGGCCUACCAAGGCGACGAUCCGUAACUGGUCUGAGAGGAUGAUCAGUCACACUGGAACUGAGACACGGUCCAGACUCCUACGGGAGGCAGCAGUGGGGAAUAUUGGACAAUGGGCGAAAGCCUGAUCCAGCCAUGCCGCGUGUGUGAAGAAGGUCUUCGGAUUGUAAAGCACUUUAAGUUGGGAGGAAGGGCAGUAAGUUAAUACCUUGCUGUUUUGACGUUACCAACAGAAUAAGCACCGGCUAACUUCGUG
rnacentral:rRNA from 1 species